rnacentral:rRNA from 1 species
UGAUCAUGGCUCAGAACGAACGCUGGCGGCAGGCCUAACACAUGCAAGUCGAGCGCAGUCCUUCGGGACCGAGCGGCGGACGGGUUAGUAACGCGUGGGAACAUACCCUUUUCUACGGAAUAGCCUCGGGAAACUGAGAGUAAUACCGUAUAAGCCCUUCGGGGGAAAGAUUUAUCGGGAAAGGAUUGGCCCGCGUUAGAUUAGAUAGUUGGUGGGGUAAUGGCCUACCAAGUCUACGAUCUAUAGCUGGUUUUAGAGGAUGAUCAGCAACACUGGGACUGAGACACGGCCCAGACUCCUACGGGAGGCAGCAGUGGGGAAUCUUAGACAAUGGGCGCAAGCCUGAUCUAGCCAUGCCGCGUGUGUGAUGAAGGUCUUAGGAUCGUAAAGCACUUUCGCCAGGGAUGAUAAUGACAGUACCUGGUAAAGAACCCCCGGCUAACUCCGUGCC